GAAAGUAAAGAAGGGCGCAUGGCGGAUGCCUUGGCUCUCGGAGGCGAUGAAGGACGUGAUAAGCUGCGAUAAGCUUUGGGGAGGUGCAAAUGACCUUUGAUCCAGAGAUUUCCGAAUGGGACAACCCAAUAUCUUGAAGAGGUAUUAUCCAACGUUGUUGGAGGCUAACGCAGGGAACUGAAACAUCUUAGUACCUGCAGGAAAAGAAAAUAAACAAUGAUUCCCCCAGUAGUGGCGAGCGAACGGGGAACAGCCCAAACCAUCCAUGUUACGGCAUGGGUGGGGUUGUAGGACUACGCCGUUGCAUGAAGACAUCAGAGAAGAACUUUCUGGAAAGAAAGACCAUAGAGCAUGACAGUUGCGUAUUCGAAUGUUGUCGAAGCAUAGUAGUAUCCUGAGUAGCGCGGAGCACGAGGAAUUCUGCGUGAAUCUGCCGGGACCAUCCGGUAAGGCUAAAUACUCCCGAGAGACCGAUAGCGAACCAGUACCGUGAGGGAAAGGUGAAAAGCACUUCGAACAGAAGAGUGAAAUAGUUCCUGAAACCGUGCGCCUACAAGCGGUCGGAGCUCGUUAAUGAGUGACGGCGUGCCUUUUGCAUAAUGAACCUACGAGUUGCCUUUGCCGGCAAGGUUAAGUGUGACGACACACGUAUCCGAAGCGAAAGCGAGUCUGAACAGGGCGUAUAGUCGGCAGUGGCAGACGCGAAACCAAGUGAUCUACCCUUGGCCAGGUUGAAGGCUGGGUAACACCAGCUGGAGGACCGCACCAAUAAGCGUUGAAAAGCUUCUGGAUGAGCUGAGGGUAGGGGUGAAAGGCUAAUCAAACUUGGAGAUAGCUCGUACUCCCCGAAAUGCAUUUAGGUGCAGCCUUGCGGGUUACUGAUGUGAGGUAGAGCGACUGAUAAGAUGCGAGGGCUUCACCGCCUAUCAAGUCUUGACAAACUCCGAAUGCGUGUCAGUUCUAUGUCAGGAGUGAGGGCAUGGGUGCUAAGGUCCAUGUCCUAAAGGAGAACAAUCCGGACCAACAGCUAAGGUCCCGAAAUGAAUACUAAGUUGAACUAACGAAGUCAGAUUGCUAAGACAGCUAGGAUGUUGGCUUGGAAGCAGCCAUUCAUUUAAAGAGUGCGUAACAGCUCACUAGUCGAGGAGUCGGGCGUGGAUAAUAAUCGGGUAUCAAGUUGUCUACCGAAGCAGUGGGAUCAUUAAUAUGAUCGGUAGGGGAGCAUUCCAGUCAGCGUCGAAGGCGUACCGUGAGGUAUUCUGGAGCGUCUGGAAAAGCAAAUGUAGGUAUAAGUAACGAUAAAGGGGGCGGGAAACCCCCUCGCCGAAAGACUAAGGUUUCCUGAUCAACGCUAAUCGGAUCAGGGUCAGUCGGGUCCUAAGGCUCAGCCGAACGGCGAUGCCGAUGGCAGAAACGGUUAAUAUUCCGUUACUACCUUCAGGAGUGACGUGGAGACGCAGUAGUGACAGUGCCGCCAUCUGACGGAAUAGAUGGUUGAAGGGUGUAGGAGUCGAUCAUGGCAGGCAAAUCCACCAUGAGAUCCGAACCUGACAGUAUGCCGCGUCCUUCGGGACAAGGCAAUAGUGCGCGUAAGCAUGCUGCCGAGAAAAUCCGCUAAACUUAAUCCUGCAGGUACCCGUACCGCAAACGGACACACGUAGUCGGGAUGAAUAUUCUAAGGCGCUUGAGUGAUUCACGGUUAAGGAACUAGGCAAACUGACCCUGUAACUUCGGGAUAAAGGGUCCCUACCCUUUUAUGGGAGGGCGCAGAGAAUCGGUCCAGGCAACUGUUUAACAAAAACACAGGGCUGUGCCAAAUCGAAAGAUCCAGUAUACAGCCUGACACCUGCCCGGUGCUGGAAGGUUAAGAGGAGAUGUCAUCGAUAAGAGAAGCGUUGAAUUGAAGCCCCAGUAAACGGCGGCCGUAACUAUAACGGUCCUAAGGUAGCGAAAUUCCUUGUCGGGUAAGUUC
rnacentral:rRNA from 1 species